ACUGGUGGCGGUUGGAUGUGGUUCCUAUAACUACGCAUAUUUUUUGAUUGUGGGACUGCGUACGCGUUGUCCCUGUUUUUCUAUUACUUUCAUACCACUGGAAAAUAGCGUAUGGGCAAAGUUGAAUGCAGUUCGGAGUCAUAUAUUGAAUUGAACUGCACUUAUAUGACAGGUUCGGACGUCUAUUAGCAUAAAUUAUUAAAAUAUUAUCAUAUAUUUAUUGCAUAUAAACAUCUUACUUUACUUACGUUACAUCUUACUUGUAUUCUAUUAAUAUAAAAAUGUUUUAAACUAAUGUAAUUAUAUCUCGCUAGAUUAUAAAAGUUAUGACUGUUU